rnacentral:tRNA from 1 species
GGGGAGGUAGCUCAAUUUGGCGGAGCGGCGGACUUUGACUCCGCAGGUUGCUGGUUCGAAGCCAGCCCUCCUCGCCA